rfam:Colinus virginianus strain Texas jcf7180006226694, whole genome shotgun sequence.
ACCAAGGCUCUUUUCAGAGCCACCCACGCAAUCACAACGAGAGCUG